rnacentral:tRNA from 2 species
GAGAAAGUCAUAGGGUGUAUGAGAUUGGCUUGAAACCAAUUUUAGGGGGUUCGAAUCCUUCCUUUUUC